GACGAACGCUGGCGGCGUGCCUAAUACAUGCAAGUUGAGCGCUGAAGGUUGGUACUUGUACCAACUGGAUGAGCAGCGAACGGGUGAGUAACGCGUGGGGAAUCUGCCUUUGAGCGGGGGACAACAUUUGGAAACGAAUGCUAAUACCGCAUAAAAACUUUAAACACAAGUUUUAAGUUUGAAAGAUGCAAUUGCAUCACUCAAAGAUGAUCCCGCGUUGUAUUAGCUAGUUGGUGAGGUAAAGGCUCACCAAGGCGAUGAUACAUAGCCGACCUGAGAGGGUGAUCGGCCACAUUGGGACUGAGACACGGCCCAAACUCCUACGGGAGGCAGCAGUAGGGAAUCUUCGGCAAUGGACGAAAGUCUGACCGAGCAACGCCGCGUGAGUGAAGAAGGUUUUCGGAUCGUAAAACUCUGUUGGUAGAGAAGAAACGUUGGUGAGAGUGGAAAAGCUCAU
rnacentral:rRNA from 1 species